rnacentral:rRNA from 1 species
GGGUCAGCGACUUAUAUUCUGUAGCAAGGUUAACCGAAUAGGGGAGCCGGAGGGAAACCGAGUCUUAACCGGGCGUUAAGUUGCAGGGUAUAGACCCGAAACCCGGUGAUCUAGCCAUGGGCAGGUUGAAGGUUGGGUAACACUAACUGGAGGACCGAACCGACUAAUGUUGAAAAAUUAGCGGAUGACCUGUGGCUGGGGGUGAAAGGCCAAUCAAACCGGGAGAUAGCUGGUUCUCCCCGAAAGCUAUUUAGGUAGCGCCUCGUGAAUUCAUCUCCGGGGGUAGAGCACUGUUUCGGCUAGGGGGCCAUCCCGGCUUACCAACCCGAUGCAAACUGCGAAUACCGGAGAAUGUUAUCACGGGAGACACACGGCGGGUGCUAACGUCCGUCGUGAAGAGGGAAACAACCCAGACCGCCAGCUAAGGUCCCAAAGUCAUGGUUAAGUGGGAAACGAUGUGGGAAGGCCCAGACAGCCAGGAUGUUGGCUUAGAAGCAGCCAUCAUUUAAAGAAAGCGUAAUAGCUCACUGGUCGAGUCGGCCUGCGCGGAAGAUGUAACGGGGCUAAACCAUGCACCGAAGCUGCGGCAGCGACACU